UCACGACUUCCUCCUCGGUUCAUCGGC
rnacentral:piRNA from 1 species